UCGCGGCUUAUCACCGGCAGUCCCCUUAGAGUGCCCAACUAAAUGGUGGCAACUAAGGGCGAGGGUUGCGCUCGUUGCGGGACUUAACCCAACAUCUCACGACACGAGCUGACGACAGCCAUGCAGCACCUGUGCACGGGCUCCGAAGAGGGCCCCCCGUUUCUGAGGGGUUUCCCGUGUAUGUCAAGCCUAGGUAAGGUUCUUCGCGUUGCGUCGAAUUAAACCACAUGCUCCACCGCUUGUGCGGGCCCCCGUCAAUUCCUUUGAGUUUCAACCUUGCGGUCGUACUUCCCAGGUGGAUUACUUAAUGCGUUUGCUGCGCCACCGAAGAGCAUGCUCCCCGACGGCUAGCACCCAUAGUUUACGGCGUGGACUAC
rnacentral:misc_RNA from 1 species